rnacentral:rRNA from 1 species
CCAGACUCCUACGGGAGGCAGCAGUGAGGAAUAUUGGUCAAUGGGCGGGAGCCUGAACCAGCCAAGUCGCGUGAGGGACGACGGUCCUAUGGAUUGUAAACCUCUUUUGUCGGGGAACAAAGGCGCCCACGGGUGGGCGGAUGAGUGUACCCGAAGAAAAAGCAUCGGCUAACUCCGUGCCAGCAGCCGCGGUAAUACGGAGGAUGCGAGCGUUAUCCGGAUUUAUUGGGUUUAAAGGGUGCGUAGGCGGACAGUCAAGUCAGCGGUAAAAAUGCGGUGCUCAACGCCGUACAGCCGUUGAAACUGACACCCUUGAGUGAGUGAGAAGUAAGCGGAAUGCGUGGUGUAGCGGUGAAAUGCAUAGAUAUCACGCAGAACGCCGAUUGCGAAGGCAGCUUACCGGCGCGCAACUGACGCUGAGGCACGAAAGUACGGGUAUCGAACAGGAUUAGAUACCCCAGUA